GUACCGAACUAUCUAUAUUUCUAAUGCAGUGAUGAAAAGCUAUUAGAUACAGUCAAGUACUUGCGAAGUCUAUGUGCGAAUCAAGAUAGAAUUGAUCCCUCUGAAUUAUAGAAGUUAAUGCAUCACUGUAUUUCAAUUAAGUAAAAUCUUGAUCAGGAUAAUCCAUGUGAUGGAUUUGAAAGAUUAAAAUAUGAUGUGGAUGACUGUUUCAGGAUUGACAAUUAAAUCUCAAAUCAUUUUGAGCAUUAGGAUCAAAGGGAUGAAUUAUACGGUAACUAUAUGUUGAGGUUCUAGAAUAUUACUUUAAAAAUAUUUGAUUUAUCCGAAUGUCGGAUAUCAGUGCU
rnacentral:lncRNA from 1 species